rnacentral:lncRNA from 1 species
AAAACAUCAAUUGAAUGUUAGAGAUACAAUUUGUGUUCUUGUAUGUGUGACUAUGUAUCUUUGUACAAGAGUAUAUUCUGUUUACAACAAAACUAUACACAAAACAAAAAAGGGAAAUAAUUAAAUGUCAUCCACAUGGAUGAAUCAAAAUGGCUUCUUAAGGUGCAUGAAAUCCAAUGAUGAUGAAUCAACACACUCAGCUUUGCUCCUAUAACCAUUCAACAAUUUCAACAACUCAGUAGCUUUCUCCUUUGUAUUCUCACCACAACCAACUUGCAGUAAAACAAGCAAUUUCUGAAACAUCCCAACUUGAAUUGCCUCAAUCAAAACACCUUGAAUUGCGCAGGAAGCUCCGGUGGAUGAAGAUGUUCCGGAGUCGGCUCCGGCUUCCUCUUUUUCGUCCGUGGAUGGGGUUGGUUUGACGACACCUUUUAUGGAGGGAAGAUAAUCCCACUGUCACAAAUUUCAAAAUUCGUCUGUCACCUUUUAUGGUUUGACGGCAUCUACUCUCGUGUGUUUGUUAAUUUGUUCUUGUAGUGCUUUUGGGUUUUUUAUUUGAACUGGGCCAAGUUCUUAGACUUGUUGCACCUCCUUUUCGAAGGUGUGUUUGUUAAUUUGUUCUUGUCCCAUGUUUAUCCUAACUUUUCGGUUGAUGCUGUUCCCAAUUAAAUAAAUACGGUAAUUUGUUGGAUUUCAAAUUUUAGUAUUAAAAAUUUGUGCGAUCGUUGUAUCAAUGGCGUUGGUGAGGGAUUUCGACCGUAGAGGAUAGCCACUCCUCCUUUCUCAAAUAUGUCACUUUGACAAUUUUAUAUAAAUUAAAAUAUAUUGUUAAUGUUGUAUAAAAAUAUAAAAAUUAUAAGUUAUUUUAUCUGAAUUCCUUUUAUUUCUCUGGUUACCGUGCGUGCGUGCGAUUUCUGUUGUUGUUUUGUUUAUUUGCAUUAGGGAUUUUAAAUCUCUUUUUUUUUUCUUUUAUUUUUUUUACAUGGGCUAAACCAUAUAAACCAUAUUUUUUUUAUGGCUAUUAGUUGAUGAACCCGAGUCUUUUUUAUUCUAAUUGUACUUAAUCACAAACGCUAGAUAGUGAGUUAAAAAAAAAAAGUUAAGAUUCCUUUGAUAGAAUUAUAUUGUGUGCUUAGCACUAAGUGAUGGAGUUUUGACUUGGAGAAUUUUAAGUGAUAGUUUAAUGUUGUGACUUUAUGAUCAAUGGGUUUUGUGGAAAGUCAACAGUUAGACUAAGAUUUUCUUUUUGUUAUGUGGUUUGAUUUGGCCUUGUGGAGGUAGGUUUGAGCUCAUGGUGGAUUUUUUUAAAGCUUUGAAGAAAAUUUGGAAGUGUUGUUUAUGCAUUAAAUGAGUAUGAAAUGUGAAAUUUGAUAGCAUGUUAUUAUAUUGUAGGAUUGCAAAUUGCAUACAGGACAUGCAAGAACCCACAGGCAUGAUGCAUAUGAUCAUUGACUUCUAUAAGCAAGUUGCAAGACGCUAUCUCGUCAUUCAGAUUUACAUUUGAAGCUUUUAAAUAUCAAACUCUAAUCAAAAACAGUUUUUAAUGAUCAAAUUGGUAUUUUUAAUUAUUUAUCAUGACUAAAUAGGUUUCUUUGGAGUUGGUACAUCUAGAUUUAAUUUUUUGUGAUGUGAAUGAAAAGUUGGGUUAGCGAUAAUUACAUAAUGAGAUAGUGUUAAAAAGUGAAAUCUAGGCUGACUUUAGAAAGUUGUGAGUAAAAUUACUCGUAACCAAUUAAAAUCAAUUAUGUAUACUGUGUAGUGCACUUGUCAUUUUAAAAGUGGAGCUUAAGUUGUGUUUGUUUUUUUGUAGUGUUUGAUGUUCAUCAAUUUUGGUUUUGUUUUAUAUGUAGCCUUUGGUCUUGUUUUGAUGGUAGCUAAAGAGAAUCAAAGUAGUUGAAUAUUUUUUGGUACUUGAUUCUAUUUUUUAUUACAAAUGAGCGAGAGUUUAUGAACAAGAUGAGAAAACUAAAGAAAAACAAUUAGCUAAUUGUUUAACAAACAUAAAAAAUAACUAACUCUUAUUUUGACUAACUAAAUGACUUUGACUAUUAUUCUCUAUUGAGCCCUUUGCAAACUCAUGGGUGAAUAAUCAUGAACUUUGAAUUUGUGUCUACAUUGUAAGAACAUAUCAGUAGUAGAAGGCUGGAGAGAACAUAUGUUGUUUGGUUAGAUGACAAAACGUGAUGAACAAUGAGCCCUUGUUUUGAAUCUUUUCUCUAAUCAUAUAAUGUAGGCCUGGUUUUAGUAACAUAUACAUUUUAGUCGACAAACAAUGGAUCGAUAAAGACUAGUAUUAGGAUUGUCAAUGCAGAACAUGUGACAAAUAACUUUGUAGUAGUAGUCACAGGAGUUUUCAUGGAAUUGGCGGUAGUCAUAUUUUCUCACUGGAGUAAAUUAUGAAUAUAUUUAUCUUCCAAUUUGAACUUUGGAGCAAGAAAAAUAAAAUAAAAAAUUACUCCACUUUAUUAAAUUAAAAAACUUACUAAACAUAAAUUGUACUCUAGGAGGAAGGACUCUACUUGAAUGAACGGACUACAACUUGCUAAACAUAAAAUAAAAUAAAAAUAAAUAAUUUCAACGGCCUCUUCUACAUCUUUCAUAAUAUCGAAAGAGAAACCUUCCGAUUCAUGGAUGUGAUGAUGUUUUUUAUAAUUACAAUAUUUGAAAAUCAAAUUUACAAAGAAAUUUAAAUGAUUUGCUGUGUUACUUCCAAGACUGGAGAAUUUUUGUGUUGACUAAUUAAAUCUCGUUUGGGUACUCACAAAAUAUUUAUACUUUGUUGGCUAAUUCAAUAUCAUUUGGAUACUCACAAGAUGUUUAUGCUUUUCAAAUGGUGUAAGAUACCAAAUAUUCCUUCAAGUUAUCAUGCACUCCAAAAUUUGGUGGUGUGCCUCGUUGAUUUUUAGUUAUUAUCCUAUGGUAGUUAAACAUUUUAUCUUUCUUCAUAUGCUUAGUUAAAUAUUUUUAAUUCUUUGUGUUUCUAUAGUAGUAAAACAAUUAUCAUUCUCUUUGAUCUUAUAUCUUCUUAUAGUUAGUCAUUUCUCUUAGUGUUUUCAUCUUAAUAUGGUUAAGCUUGUUAGCCAAAUUUGACAUCUGAACAUCCAAGAUUGAGGUUUUUGAUUCUACAUUGAAGUAAAUAUUGCGGAGACAUUAGAAGAUUUUCAAGUUAUCUCAAAGUAAGUAGAAUAAUUAAACGAAAGUUAUGCACCUCAGUCGCUACCACUUUCUACAUCAACUUUCUUGUUUUGCUGAUGUGAUUACGACAUAUUCUUUUUCUUAUAAUUUUAUUUUAUCAAUUAUAUUGUAUUUUAUUUGUUCUGAUAUUGUACUAUUCAUUCCAAGUUAAAAAUGUUAUUAUACACUUCCAACUUGCAGAAACUCUUAUAUAUUGUUAGAUUUAGUUUAAUAUGAUUUAAGAUAGUUAUAUUUAGUUAUGGUUAAGUGAAAUUUUAUUAGAUUAAUUAUAUUAAAAACACUAUAUAUCUUUCAUAGUGACAACAGUAAGAGUGACAACCUAUCAUCUCUUAUUCGUCAUCUCAAUCUAAAUAUCAUACAAUGUCAUCAACAAUUUGUGAGAUUAAAUAUGAUUAAUCUUCAUCCUAAAUGAACUUCAGUACCUUAUAUCAAACCUUCUCUUAUUCACAAUAUCAUACCAUAAAAGGAUCAAAUAAUUAGAUUCUGAUCUUGUUCGUAGAAACCUAAGCAAAAACUCUUUCAUCUCUUUCUAAUUUCAUCAUCUCAACAACAAUGUAGUUUUACUAAGCCAUUAGACCCUUACCUUUCUAUAUAGAGUUUCAUUUCCAUGUUGGGAUUAAAGGAUAUGUACUCUCCAGCCUGUUAGAAAUAUUACAUGUUAAUAACUGUAAUUAGUAAUGUUUAUUAUCUAGUUAGUUAGGUGGUUAUCCCCUAACUACUUUCUGUUGGUGUAGUUGAUAACCUAUUUGUUAGUAUAGUAGUUAGGUUGUAUGUAUAAAUACUUGUACAAUUAUUGUUACGAUGCAGUUUACAUUUCAUUAAUGAUAAUGAGGUAUUACCCAAUAUCCUCUCUCUUAGUUGUAAUAUUGUAAGCACACAUCCAUCGAUCAAAAAUCUUAUUUAUUUAUAUAUAUUGUAUUUUGUCUUCAAAUUAUCUUGAUUAAUGUUUUAUUUAGGUAUUUAGUUCUCACAAAUUAUCAUCCUCAAAUUUGACGGUAUUUGCAAUAGUUAAGGAAUUAAUAGUCAAGGGACCAAGUUCAAUUCAUUCUUUAGCAUAUUGCUUAAUUUAAAGUGAAUUAUAGUUGAGACCUUUAAGUCGAUCAACUCAACAAAUUUUUGAGUUAGAAAUCAAAUUUGACAUGUCUAGUGGAACCUAGCGGCUAGUAGAAUUGAGAAAUUUAGUUAACCAAAUCACAAUUGUUUUUGACAUAUGCAUUUGAAGUCUAAGUCUUAUGAAUCAUAUGUAUCAUCAAAGAUGUCAAAAACCAAAUGAGCCACAAUAUGUGACACUCUUUACUCCAAAAUCACUUAUUUGUUGAUAUUUGCAACAAAAAAAAAAUAUUUUUAAAAUAAGUAAAAAUUGAGAAUAAAUAAAAAAUUUCAUGUUGAUAGAGUACCACGAUAUUUCUCAACAUAUACCAAAAAUAACAUUGGAUUAAUUUGAAUAUUUAAUAACAAAAUUCUUAAAUCUCAUACAUGUGCUUUGAGUUUAAACAAACAAGUGUGUUCAUUGCAACUAAAACUCUAAUAAAGACACACUUUCUAUGUUGAUGUUGCAUGAGCGAGAUCAAAUCCGAAUCAUAUUGUCGAAAAAUUCACUAGUUAGAUAUUUAUCUAUGAUUAAAUUUGGUAGACUUCUCAUAAAAUUAAAAAUCAUUAAGUAAGUAUAUAUUGUAUACUGAAAUUUAAUUUGAACUUGUGAAUAAUAAGCCUAAAAAAGGGAAAAUUAAACUUUAAGCAUCUCAAUCUGUAUGUCUCAAAUCUAAAUUUCCAAAAACAAAAAGAUGAAUUUCAAAACAUCAAUUGAAUGUUAGAGAUACAAUUUGUGUUCUUGUAUGUGUGACUAUGUAUCUUUGUACAAGAGUAUAUUCUGUUUACAACAAAACUAUACACAAAACAAAAAAGGGAAAUAAUUAAAUGUCAUCCACAUGGAUGAAUCAAAAUGGCUUCUUAAGGUGCAUGAAAUCCAAUGAUGAUGAAUCAACACACUCAGCUUUGCUCUUAUAACCAUUCAACAAUUUCAACAACUCAGCAGCUUUCUCCUUUGUAUUCUCACCACAACCAACUUGCAGUAAAACAAGCAAUUUCUGAAACAUCCCAACUUGAAUUGCCUCAAUCAAAACACCU